AAAUUGAAGAGUUUGAUCAUGGCUCAGAUUGAACGCUGGCGGCAGGCCUAACACAUGCAAGUCGAACGGUAACAGGAAACAGCUUGCUUCUUCGCUGACGAGUGGCGGACGGGUGAGUAAUGUCUGGGAAACUGCCUGAUGGAGGGGGAUAACUACUGGAAACGGUAGCUAAUACCGCAUAACGUCGCAAGACCAAAGAGGGGGACCUUCGGGCCUCUUGCCAUCGGAUGUGCCCAGAUGGGAUUAGCUAGUAGGUGGGGUAACGGCUCACCUAGGCGACGAUCCCUAGCUGGUCUGAGAGGAUGACCAGCCACACUGGAACUGAGACACGGUCCAGACUCCUACGGGAGGCAGCAGUGGGGAAUAUUGCACAAUGGGCGCAAGCCUGAUGCAGCCAUGCCGCGUGUAUGAAGAAGGCCUUCGGGUUGUAAAGUACUUUCAGCGGGGAGGAAGGGAGUAAAGUUAAUACCUUUGCUCAUUGACGUUACCCGCAGAAGAAGCACCGGCUAACUCCGUGCCAGCAGCCGCGGUAAUACGGAGGGUGCAAGCGUUAAUCGGAAUUACUGGGCGUAAAGCGCACGCAGGCGGUUUGUUAAGUCAGAUGUGAAAUCCCCGGGCUCAACCUGGGAACUGCAUCUGAUACUGGCAAGCUUGAGUCUCGUAGAGGGGGGUAGAAUUCCAGGUGUAGCGGUGAAAUGCGUAGAGAUCUGGAGGAAUACCGGUGGCGAAGGCGGCCCCCUGGACGAAGACUGACGCUCAGGUGCGAAAGCGUGGGGAGCAAACAGGAUUAGAUACCCUGGUAGUCCACGCCGUAAACGAUGUCGACUUGGAGGUUGUGCCCUUGAGGCGUGGCUUCCGGAGCUAACGCGUUAAGUCGACCGCCUGGGGAGUACGGCCGCAAGGUUAAAACUCAAAUGAAUUGACGGGGGCCCGCACAAGCGGUGGAGCAUGUGGUUUAAUUCGAUGCAACGCGAAGAACCUUACCUGGUCUUGACAUCCACGGAAGUUUUCAGAGAUGAGAAUGUGCCUUCGGGAACCGUGAGACAGGUGCUGCAUGGCUGUCGUCAGCUCGUGUUGUGAAAUGUUGGGUUAAGUCCCGCAACGAGCGCAACCCUUAUCCUUUGUUGCCAGCGGUCCGGCCGGGAACUCAAAGGAGACUGCCAGUGAUAAACUGGAGGAAGGUGGGGAUGACGUCAAGUCAUCAUGGCCCUUACGACCAGGGCUACACACGUGCUACAAUGGCGCAUACAAAGAGAAGCGACCUCGCGAGAGCAAGCGGACCUCAUAAAGUGCGUCGUAGUCCGGAUUGGAGUCUGCAACUCGACUCCAUGAAGUCGGAAUCGCUAGUAAUCGUGGAUCAGAAUGCCACGGUGAAUACGUUCCCGGGCCUUGUACACACCGCCCGUCACACCAUGGGAGUGGGUUGCAAAAGAAGUAGGUAGCUUAACCUUCGGGAGGGCGCUUACCACUUUGUGAUUCAUGACUGGGGUGAAGUCGUAACAAGGUAACCGUAGGGGAACCUGCGGUUGGAUCACCUCCUUACCUUAAAGAAGC
rnacentral:rRNA from 1 species